GGGGAAUCUGGCAAGCCGGACCA
rnacentral:misc_RNA from 1 species